rnacentral:rRNA from 1 species
GGAAUAUUGGGCAAUGAGCGCAAGCUUGACCCAGCGACGCCGCGUGGGUGAUGAAGGCCCUUGGGUCGUAAAACCCUGUCAUGCGGGAAGAAAGGUCCGGGCUCUAACAUAGCCCGGGCUUGACGGUACAGCAGGAGGAAGCCCCGGCUAACGCCGUGCAAGCAGCCGCGGUAAUACGGAGGGGGCGAGCGUUAUUCGGAAUUAUUGGGCGUAAAGGUCAGGUAGGCGGCUUUGCAUGUCUUCUGUGAAAGCCCUCGGCUUAACCGAGGAACCGCAGGAGAAACUGCAUGGCUUGAGUCCGGGAGAGGGUAGCGGAAUUCCCAGUGUAGCGGUGAAAUGCGUAGAUAUUGGGAGGAACACCAGUGGCGAAGGCGGCUACCUGGACCGGUACUGACGCUGAUCUGCGAAAGCUAGGGGAGCAAAC